AUUGAACGCUGGCGGCAGGCCUAACACAUGCAAGUCGAGCGAGCGGCGGACGGGUGAGUAAUGUAUGGGGACUGCCCGAUAGAGGGGGAUAACUACUGGAAACGGUGGCUAAUUCCGCAUACUGUCGGCAAACCCGUAUGGGAUUCGCUAGUAGGUAAGGUAAUUGCUUACCUAGGCGACGAUCCCUAGAUUGUCUGGGCGGAUGAUCAGCCACACUGGGACUUGGGCACGGCCCAGACUCCUACGGAGGCAGCAGGGGGGAAAAUUGCACAAUGGGCGCAAGGCUGAUGCAGCCACGCCGCGGGAGUGGUGACGGCCUUCCGGUUGUAAAGCUCUGUUAAUCGGGAGACGGUACCGGAAUAGAAAGCCACGGCUAACUACGUGCCAGCAGCCGCGGUAAUAC
rnacentral:rRNA from 1 species